rnacentral:rRNA from 1 species
UUGUGAGGUUAAGCGACUAAGCGUACACGGUGGAUGCCCUGGCAGUCAGAGGCGAUGAAGGACGUGCUAAUCUGCGAUAAGCGUCGGUGAGGUGAUAUGAACCGUUAUAACCGGCGAUUUCCGAAUGGGGAAACCCAGUGUGUUUCGACACACUAUCAUUAACUGAAUCCAUAGGUUAAUGAGGCGAACCGGGGGAACUGAAACAUCUAAGUACCCCGAGGAAAAGAAAUCAACCGAGAUUCCCCCAGUAGCGGCGAGCGAACGGGGAGGAGCCCAGAGCCUGAAUCAGUGUGUGUGUUAGUGGAAGCGUCUGGAAAGGCGCGCGAUACAGGGUGACAGCCCCGUACACAAAAAUGCACAUAUUGUGAGCUCGAUGAGUAGGGCGGGACACGUGGUAUCCUGUCUGAAUAUGGGGGGACCAUCCUCCAAGGCUAAAUACUCCUGACUGACCGAUAGUGAACCAGUACCGUGAGGGAAAGGCGAAAAGAACCCCGGCGAGGGGAGUGAAAAAGAACCUGAAACCGUGUACGUACAAGCAGUGGGAGCCUCUUAAUGGGGUGACUGCGUACCUUUUGUAUAAUGGGUCAGCGACUUAUAUUCUGUAGCAAGGUUAACCGAAUAGGGGAGCCGAAGGGAAACCGAGUCUUAACUGGGCGUUAAGUUGCAGGGUAUAGACCCGAAACCCGGUGAUCUAGCCAUGGGCAGGUUGAAGGUUGGGUAACACUAACUGGAGGACCGAACCGACUAAUGUUGAAAAAUUAGCGGAUGACUUGUGGCUGGGGGUGAAAGGCCAAUCAAACCGGGAGAUAGCUGGUUCUCCCCGAAAGCUAUUUAGGUAGCGCCUCGUGAAUUCAUCUCCGGGGGUAGAGCACUGUUUCGGCAAGGGGGUCAUCCCGACUUACCAACCCGAUGCAAACUGCGAAUACCGGAGAAUGUUAUCACGGGAGACACACGGCGGGUGCUAACGUCCGUCGUGAAGAGGGAAACAACCCAGACCGCCAGCUAAGGUCCCAAAGUCAUGGUUAAGUGGGAAACGAUGUGGGAAGGCCCAGACAGCCAGGAUGUUGGCUUAGAAGCAGCCAUCAUUUAAAGAAAGCGUAAUAGCUCACUGGUCGAGUCGGCCUGCGCGGAAGAUGUAACGGGGCUAAACCAUGCACCGAAGCUGCGGCAGCGACGCUUAUGCGUUGUUGGGUAGGGGAGCGUUCUGUAAGCCUGUGAAGGUGUGCUGUGAGGCAUGCUGGAGGUAUCAGAAGUGCGAAUGCUGACAUAAGUAACGAUAAAGCGGGUGAAAAGCCCGCUCGCCGGAAGACCAAGGGUUCCUGUCCAACGUUAAUCGGGGCAGGGUGAGUCGACCCCU